rnacentral:lncRNA from 1 species
AGUAAAAGGGGAUGAAAGAAUGGAAAUUAGGUUUGGGGGAAACGCCAGAGGAAAACCUACCGUGAAGUCUUCUACCUCAGCGUAAGGUCACAACUUGGCAACCAAGCUUCACCACGAUAUCGUUGGUCGAUUUGUAACGAGGAAGGCCUGACGUCGCCGGAGGAGAAGUGACCAAAGGCGAAGCAAGGUGAAUCGUCCAAUGUUUCAGAGCUAAGAGAGAUGCGAGAGUGUUUUCGUUCUUGAAAAAAGCCCUAGCUAAAAUGGUCACAACGAUUUUGUGGAAUUUAGUAUUUGGUGAUGUUUUAGGAUUUUGUUGUGCAAGAAAAUAGGAGUGGUUAUGAUAUUAGGGUUUUUUGGGUAUUGAUCAGUGAGGAGAGGGAAGAACGAUGGAAAUAAUGCAGAGGAUGAACGAGAUGUUUGAUGAUACUGAAGAUGAAGAUAAGGGACCUGGGGCUUUUUCUUGCUAAGUAGAAGAGGC